rnacentral:rRNA from 1 species
CAAUCGGACUAGUUGCUCCGGUAUGUACUAUCCGGUUGGGCCUUACCUCCUGGUGAGCCCGUAUGUCGUUUACUCGGUGUGCGGGGGAACCAGGAAUUUUACUUUGAAAAAAUUAGAGUGUUCAAAGCAGGCAUAUGCCCAAAUACAUUAGCAUGGAAUAAUAGAAUAGGACGUGCGGUUCUAUUUUGUUGGUUUCUAGGAUCGCCGUAAUGAUUAAUAGGGAUAGUUGGGC